UACGGGGGGGGCAAGCGUUGUUCGGAAUUACUGGGCGUAAAGGGUUUGUAGGUGGCCAACUAAGUCAGACGUGAAAUCCCUCAGCUUAACUGGGGAACUGCGUCUGAUACUGGAUGGCUUGAGUUCGGGAGAGGGAUGCGGAAUUCCAGGUGUAGCGGUGAAAUGCGUAGAUAUCUGGAGGAACACCGGUGGCGAAGGCGGCAUCCUGGACCGAUACUGACGCUGAGGAGCGAAAGCCAGGGGAGCAAACGGG
rnacentral:rRNA from 1 species